AUUGAACGCUGGCGGCAUGCUUUACACAUGCAAGUCGAACGGCAGCGGGGGCUUCGGCCUGCCGGCGAGUGGCGAACGGGUGAGUAAUGCAUCGGAACGUGCCCAUGUCGUGGGGGGUAACUACGCGAAAGCGUGGCUAAUACCGCAUACGCCCUACGGGGGAAAGAGGGGGAUCGCAAGACCUCUUGUUAUUGGAGCGGCCGAUGGCUGAUUAGCUAGUUGGUAGGGUAAAGGCCUACCAAGGCAACGAUCAGUAGCGGGUCUUAGAGGACGAUCCGCCACACUGGAACUGAGACACGGUCCAGACUCCUACGGGAGGCAGCAGUGGGGAAUCUUGGACAAUGGGCGCAAGCCUGAUCCAGCAAUGCCGCGUGCGUGAAGAAGGCCUUCGGGUUGUAAAGCGCUUUUGUCAGGGAGCAAAUCCUUGUGGCUAAUACCCACCGGGGAUGAGAGUACCUGAAGAAUAAGGACCGGCUAACUACGUGCCAGCCGCCGCCGUAAUAC
rnacentral:rRNA from 1 species